rnacentral:rRNA from 1 species
AACCCUAAGGCGCAAUGAAAGUGAAGGUCAGGCACAGCACUGACUGAGGCAGGAUCCGUCCGGGUGAGCGAAGCUCUUCUUCCUUUCGCGGGUUCGUCCCGCGGGGGAGCUCGGCGGCGCACUGCCAGCCCAUCUCGGCCGCUUCCUGUCGGCGAGGUGGAGCUAGAGCGCACACGUUGGGACCCGAAAGAUGGUGAACUAUGCUCGGGCAGGACGAAGCCAGAGGAAACUCUGGUGGAGGUCCGUAGCGAUUCUGACGUGCAAAUCGAUCGUCGGACCCGAGUAUAGGGGCGAAAGACUAAUCGAACCGUCU